AUGUCAGUUUCCUAUUUUUUCCUGCUUUGUGCUGGCAUUGGAAUAGAUGGUGCUACAGUAAGUGCAAACAGGAAAUCCAGGAGGGUCUUUUCCAUUUGCUUUGGGGACCAUUCUCUGCAACUCUGUCACACUU